rnacentral:rRNA from 1 species
GACGUAGGAUGCAAGCGUUGUCCGGAUUUAUUGGGCGUAAAGAGUUCGUAGGCGGUUUGUUAAGUCUGAUGUUAAAGAUCGGGGCUCAACCUCGGGAGUGCAUUGGAUACUGGCAGACUGGAGUGUGGUAGAGGUUAGUGGAAUUCCCAGUGUAGCGGUGAAAUGCGUAGAUAUUGGGAAGAACACCAGUGGCGUAGGCGACUAACUGGGCCAUAACUGACGCUGAGGAACGAAAGCCAGGGGAG